UACGGAGGGGGCUAGCGUUGUUCGGAAUUACUGGGCGUAAAGCGCGCGUAGGCGGCUUUGUAAGUUAGAGGUGAAAGCCCGGGGCUCAACCCCGGAACUGCCUUUAAGACUGCAUCGCUUGAAUCCAGGAGAGGUGAGUGGAAUUCCGAGUGUAGAGGUGAAAUUCGUAGAUAUUCGGAAGAACACCAGUGGCGAAGGCGACUCACUGGACACGUAUUGACGCUGAGGUGCGAAAGCGUGGGGAGCAAACAGG
rnacentral:rRNA from 1 species